rnacentral:rRNA from 1 species
CGUGAAAUUGUUGAAAGGGAAGCGUUUAUGACCAGACUUGGGCUUGGUUAAUCAUCUGGGGUUCUCCCCAGUGCACUUUUCCAGUCCAGGCCAGCAUCAGUUUUCCCCGGGGGAUAAAGACUUCGGGAAUGUGGCUCUCUUCGGGGAGUGUUAUAGCCCGUUGUGUAAUACCUGGGGGGGACUGAGGUUCGCGCAUCUGCAAGGAUGCUGGCGUAAUGGUCAUCAACG